UACGAAGGGGGCGAGCGUUGUUCGGAUUUACUGGGCGUAAAGCGUGCGCAGGCGGUUCGUUGUGUCGGCGGUGAAAGCCCCGGGCUCAACCUGGGAAUGGCCGUUGAAACUGGCGAACUGGAGUGUGGCAGAGGGGGGUGGAAUUCCGCGUGUAGCAGUGAAAUGCGUAGAGAUGCGGAGGAACACCGAUGGCGAAGGCAGCCCCCUGGGCUGACACUGACGCUCAGGCACGAAAGCGUGGGGAGCAAACAGG
rnacentral:rRNA from 1 species